GAUGAACGCUGGCGGCGUGCCUAAUACAUGCAAGUCGAGCGAACAGGCGAGGAGCUUGCUCCUCUGACGUUAGCGGCGGACGGGUGAGUAACACGUGGAUAACCUACCUAUAAGACUGGGAUAACUUCGGGAAACCGGAGCUAAUACCGGAUAAUAUAUUGAACCGCAUGGUUCAAUAGUGAAAGACGGUUUUGCUGUCACUUAUAGAUGGAUCCGCUCCGCAUUAGCUAGUUGGUAAGGUAACGGCUUACCAAGGCAACGAUGCGUAGCCGACCUGAGAGGGUGAUCGGCCACACUGGAACUGAGACACGGUCCAGACUCCUACGGGAGGCAGCAGUAGGGAAUCUUCCGCAAUGGGCGAAAGCCUGACGGAGCAACGCCGCGUGAGUGAUGAAGGUCUUCGGAUCGUAAAACUCUGUUAUUAGGGAAGAACAAAUGUGUAAGUAACUAUGCACGUCUUGACGGUACCUAAUCAGAAAGCCACGGCUAACUACGUG
rnacentral:rRNA from 1 species